CCACAGUCAAGCGUCGGCUCGUCAGGGUCGGCGCUUGCCUCCAUUUACCUCCAACAACCAGGUGUUGAAGUCUGUAUAUCGCUCUUUUGAAGAGCAAUACCGCAAUGCCGUGCAGCAGCUUAAGGAUGGGCAAGGGUAAAGGAAAGGGCAAGGCUGCUUCAUGUCAGCAGCCUUUUCAGAGGAAGGGGAAGUCGGCCCGGCUUCUCAGUAAGCUAUCCUCUGGAGCCCUUAGUGGUCCCGGCGCAAGCAGUUGUUACACUGCCGACUGCCAGGAUUCAUUGCCUGUUACCCGACCUCCCUGUCGGCGGCCGACUACCUCUGUUCCUUCGGGAGUGGGAGAAAGUCACGUCAAAUCCCUGGUUCCUGUCUACACUCA